rnacentral:rRNA from 1 species
AUUGAACGCUGGCGGCAGGCCUAACACAUGCAAGUCGAACGAGUGGCGGACGGGUGAGUAAUGUCUGGGCAACUGCCCGAUGGAGGGGGGUAACUACUGGAAACGGUAGCUAAUACCGCAUACCAUCGGAUGUGCCCAGAUGGGAUUAGCUAGUAGGUGGGGUAACGGCUCACCUAGGCGACGAUCCCUAGCUGGUCUGAGCGGAUGACCAGCCACACGGGAACUGAGACACGGUCCAGACUCUUACGGGAGGCAGCAGUGGGGAAUAUUGCACAAUGGGGGAAAGCCUGAUGCAGCCAGGCGGCGUGGAUGAAGAAGGCCUUCGGGUUGUAAAGUACUUUCAGCGAGGAGGCGUUACUCGCAGAAGAAGCACCGGCUAACUCCGUGCCAGCAGCCGCGGUAAUUC